rnacentral:antisense_RNA from 1 species
CUUGAUCGAGCCCAGCCGCAGCGGGCUGUUCUCGGGACGGCCCUGGCCGUACGUCGCGAGCAGGGCCUGCGCCUC